rnacentral:tRNA from 1 species
GCCUCGAUAGCUCAACUGGCAGAGCAGCUGACUCUUAAUCAGCGGGUUGUAGGUUCGAGUCCUACUCGAGGCA